AGCAAAGACCCAGGAGCUUCUGGCGGAGGAAAGGAGGCAGGCGGCGGAGAGGGAGAGGGAGACUGAGGAGAGGACCGCUAGGCUAUUGGAGGAGGAGAGGAACCGAAACGACUUGGCUAACCGGGCCAUAUACGAGCUCUUCGCGUCCAUGUGCGAGAAGAACGGUCAGACCCCUCCGCCGAUGCCAGUCAUUGCUCCGGCGGACACGGUGAGUUUCAUUUGAAUGGUCAUUACUUAUUAGUCUUCACAUUUGAGUUGCAUCAUGCUAACGAGACAUUCCAAAUGAUCUUUAAUUUGGUGCAACACAACUCCCGACAAGCAUCGACGUCUGCCAUUGGCGCGAGCAAGAACCCCGAUCCUCCUCCAUCUGCCACUACCGCGAGCAAGAACCCCGAUCCUUCACCUACGGGUUGACGAUUUGCUUCAGAUCACGGAAGCCUGGGUUGAUGGAGUGCUUGUCUUUAGUUUUUGUUUUGACUUUGUGAAACUUGCUACCUAUGAUGAAACUGUGUAAUAUUGAUGAAACUAUGUAUAUGUAUGGAUGAAACUUGCUACUAUUGGUAACAUGUGUUGGAUAUAUUUGCGUUCAUGACUA